UCCGGUUUGUCACCGGCAGUCUCAUUAGAGUGCCCAACUGAAUGUGGCAACUAAUGACAAGGGUUGCGCUCGUUGCGGGACUUAACCCAACAUCUCACGACACGAGCUGACGACAGCCAUGCACCACCUGUCACCCGCCCCGAAGGACCCCGCGUCUCCGCGAGUUUUCAGGCGAUGUCAAACCCAGGUAAGGUUCUUCGCGUUGCAUCGAAUUAAUCCGCAUGCUCCGCCGCUUGUGCGGGCCCCCGCCAAUUCCUUUGAGUUUCAACCUUGCGGUCGUACUUCCCAGGUGGAUUACUUAAUGCUUUCGCUCAGACACCAACAGUGUAUCGCUGAUGUCGAGUAAUCAUCGUUUAGGGCGUGGACUAC
rnacentral:misc_RNA from 1 species